GAUGAAGAACGCAGCGAAAUGCGAUAAGUAAUGUGAAUUGCAGAAUUCCGUGAAUCAUCGUAUCUUUGAACGCACAUUGCGCCCCCUGGUAUUCCGGGGGGCAUGCCUGUCCGAGCGUCAUUGCAACCUUCAAGCGCGGCUUGUGUGUUGGGUCUCGUCCCCCGUGGACGGGCCCGAAAGGCAGUGGCGGCGUCCCGACAUGGUGCCCGAGCGUAUGGGAAUCCUCUUCCGCUCGAAUCGGCCCAUGCGGCGCUGGUCGUAACCAAAUUUUUUACCGGUUGACCUCGGAUCAGGUAGGGAUACCCGCUGAACUUAAGCAUAUCAAUAAGCGGAGGA
rnacentral:misc_RNA from 1 species